AACAAGGCGUACCUGCGGACCUGCGGAAGGAUCAUUACAGGAUUCGCAAGACUCCCGUAACCACUGUGAACUUUACCUUUUGUUGCCUCGGCGGGUGCUGGACUCGCUCCAGCGCUCACGCCCGCCGGCGGCCCACAACUCAUUGUCUGAUUCUAAGCAUCUCCGAGCUAUACACAAACGAAUCAAAACUUUCAACAAUGGAUCU
rnacentral:misc_RNA from 1 species